rnacentral:tRNA from 1 species
GCCCCUGUAGCUCAGUUGGUAGAGCAUCUGAUUUGUAAUCAGAGGGUCGGCGGUUCGAAUCCGUCCGGGGGCACCA